CUCUUGAUGCCCAUGACUAAUAUCUAAAAAUUUUGGGACACCCAAAAUUGGGUUGGGCGUGGACUCUAUGGUGCGUCCUCCCCUUGGAUGAAAACCCUAGCCCUAGUCUAUAAAAGGGUGGCUCCUCUCUUGGCAUCAUAUAUUGGCUUCUCUUGCUGAUUUUUAUUUUCCAUAGCCCUUUCUUCUCUUCCUCUCUUCCUCCUCCAGAUAUCCUCUUACUUUGGAGCAUCCAAGGUG
rnacentral:lncRNA from 1 species